CCCCGCACAUCCCGAGGCUGAGAGCUCCCGUUAGGAGCGUGACACGCAGCCCCGCGGGCGACCGGGCUUGACUUGAAAGGAAGCCAGGCUUAGGGUCUUGUGCCGUUUUCAGCCAUCUGCGUGAAGGGCGGCCUCUAACAGCUCAAAAGGGAUCACAGAACCGCUGAGGUGGGCAGGGACCUCACCCCUCUGCUCAGAGCAUGGUCAGCCACAGCAAGUUUCUUGAGACUGUUUCCAGCCAGGUAUUGAGUAUCUCCAGGGACAGAGAUUCUCUGGCCAGCCCGUUCCAGUGUUCACUCACUCUUUAAAGUCUUAGCAAAAAUUGAAGACACCAUGAGACGGCACUGGACUACUCAAGCCAGUUUGGCAGAGCUCCUCGUAAAAGCAGAUCAGAAAGUAUGAAAGCAGAUGGAAUUCUCAAUCAGAAAAAUUAUAAGGAGACAGAAUAUUUCUGCCUUGUAUUUAGCAAAAUAAUUGUUUCUGAAAACAUUGCCCAAUGCUGCAACUCUUUCUCAGGUAUGACAAUGCAGAGAUGCUAAAUAUGUUGAGCUUGUAAAGGUAUCUGGGAUCAAGAAAGCGGAAUUUGAACCGCGAUCAGCAGUGACACAGACAAGCCCAUCCUAAAACAUUUCCGUACUUGUG